rnacentral:rRNA from 1 species
UAGGGAAUCUUCCACAAUGGACGCAAGUCUGAUGGAGCAACGCCGCGUGAGUGAAGAAGGUUUUCGGACCGUAAAGCUCUGUUGUUGGUGAAGAAGGAUAGAGGUAGUAACUGGCCUUUAUUUGACGGUAAUCAACCAGAAAGUCACGGCUAACUACGUGCCAGCAGCCGCGGUAAUACGUAGGUGGCAAGCGUUGUCCGGAUUUAUUGGGCGUAAAGCGAGCGCAGGCGGAAGAAUAAGUCUGAUGUGAAAGCCCUCGGCUUAACCGAGGAAUUGCAUCGGAAACU